rnacentral:rRNA from 1 species
GGGUGAGUAAUGCCUAGGAAAUUGCCCUGAUGUGGGGGAUAACCAUUGGAAACGAUGGCUAAUACCGCAUGAUGCCUACGGGCCAAAGAGGGGGACCUUCGGGCCUCUCGCGUCAGGAUAUGCCUAGGUGGGAUUAGCUAGUUGGUGAGGUAAGGGCUCACCAAGGCGACGAUCCCUAGCUGGUCUGAGAGGAUGAUCAGCCACACUGGAACUGAGACACGGUCCAGACUCCUACGGGAGGCAGCAGUGGGGAAUAUUGCACAAUGGGCGCAAGCCUGAUGCAGCCAUGCCGCGUGUGUGAAGAAGGCCUUCGGGUUGUAAAGCACUUUCAGUCGUGAGGAAGGUAGUGUAGUUAAUAGCUGCAUUAUUUGACGUUAGCGACAGAAGAAGCACCGGCUAACUCCGUGCCAGCAGCCGCGGUAAUACGGAGGGUGCGAGCGUUAAUCGGAAUUACUGGGCGUAAAGCGCAUGCAGGUGGUUUGUUAAGUCAGAUGUGAAAGCCCGGGGCUCAACCUCGGAAUUGCAUUUGAAACUGGCAGACUAGAGUACUGUAGAGGGGGGUAGAAUUUCAGGUGUAGCGGUGAAAUGCGUAGAGAUCUGAAGGAAUACCGGUGGCGAAG